UACAGAGGUCUCAAGCGUUGUUCGGAUUCACUGGGUUUAAAGGGUGCGUAGGCGGGCAGGUAAGUCCGUGGUGAAAUCUCUGAGCUUAACUCAGAAACUGCCAUGGAUACUAUUUGUCUUGAAUGUUGUGGAGGUAAGCGGAAUAUGUCAUGUAGCGGUGAAAUGCUUAGAUAUGACAUAGAACACCAAUUGCGAAGGCAGCUUACUACACAAAUAUUGACGCUGAGGCACGAAAGCGUGGGGAUCAAACAGG
rnacentral:rRNA from 1 species